rnacentral:rRNA from 1 species
GAUGAACGCUGGCGGCGUGCCUAAUACAUGCAAGUCGUACGGAAAGGCCCUUCGGGGUACUCGAGUGGCGGACGGCUGAGUAACGCGUGGGAACGUGCCCCAAAGUGAGGGAUAACGCACCGAAAGGUGUGCUAAUACCGCAUAUGGUCUUCGGAUUAAAGCUUCGGCGCUUUGGGAGCGGCCCGCGUACGAUUAGAUAGUUGGUGAGGUAAUGGCUCACCAAGUCGACGAUCGUUAGCUGGUCUGAGAGGAUGAUCAGCCAGACUGGGACUGAGACACGGCCCAGACUCCUACGGGAGGCAGCAGUAAGGGAUCUUCCACAAUGGGGGCAACCCUGAUGGAGCAACGCCGCGUGCAGGAUGAAGGUUUUCGGAUCGUAAACUGCUUUUAUAAGUGAAGAAUAUGACGGUAACUUAUGAAUAAGGAUCGGCUAACUACGUGCCAGCCGCCGCCGUAA